CCUACGGGAGGCAGCAGUGAGGAAUAUUGGUCAAUGGCCGAAAGUCUGAACCAGCCAAGUCGCGUGAAGGAAGACUGCCCUAUGGGUUGUAAACUUCUUUUAUAGGGGAAUAAAGUUAUCCACGUGUGGAAUUUUGUAUGUACCCUAUGAAUAAGGAUCGGCUAACUCCGUGCCAGCAGCCGCGGUAAUACGGAGGAUCCGAGCGUUAUCCGGAUUUAUUGGGUUUAAAGGGAGCGUAGGUGGAUUGGUAAGUCAGUUGUGAAAGGUUGCGGCUCAACCGUAACAUUGCCGUUGAAACUGGCAGUCUGGAGUACAGUAGAGGUGGGCGGAAUUCGUGGUGUAGCGGUGAAAUGCUUAGAUAUCACGAAGAACUCCGAUUGCGAAGGCAGCGCACUGGACUGCAACUGACACUGAGGCUCGAAAGUGUGGGUAUCAAACAGGAUUAGAUACCCCUGUAGUC
rnacentral:rRNA from 1 species